rnacentral:rRNA from 1 species
UAGGGAAUCUUCCGCAAUGGGCGAAAGCCUGACGGAGCAACGCGCGUGAGUGAAGAAGGAUUUCGGUUCGUAAAGCUCUGUUGUUAGGGAAGAAUGAUUGUGUAGUAACUAUACACAGUAGAGACGGUACCUAACCAGAAAGCCACGGCUAACUACGUGCCAGCAGCCGCGGUAAUACGUAGGUGGCAAGCGUUGUCCGGAAUUAUUGGGCGUAAAGCGCGCGCAGGUGGUUUAAUAAGUCUGAUGUGAAAGCCCACGGCUCAACCGUGGAGGGUCAUUGGAAACUGUUAAACUUGAGUGCAGGAGAGAAAAGUGGAAUUCCUAGUGUAGCGGUGAAAUGCGUAGAGAUUAGGAGGAACACCAGUGGCGAAGGCGGCUUUUUGGCCUGUAACUGACACUGAGGCGCGAAAGCGUGGGGGAGCAAACAGGAUUAGAUACCCUGGUAGUCCACGCCGUAAACGAUGAGUGCUAAGUGUUGGUCUCAUANGAGAUCAGUGCUGCAGCUAACGCAUUAGCACUCNNCUGGGGAGUACGACNCAAGUU